rnacentral:rRNA from 1 species
UACAGGAGGUCCCGAGCGUUGUUCGGAUUCACUGGGCGUAAAGGGUGCGUAGGUGGUGGGGUAAGUCUCGUGUGAAAGCUCGCAGCUUAACAUGCGAAAAGUCACGGGAUACUAUUCUGCUGGAGGCUUGGAGGGGGGACUGGAAUACUUGGUGUAGCAGUGAAAUGCGUAGAUAUCAAGUGGAACACCAGUGGCGAAGGCGAGUCCCUGGACAAGACUGACACUGAGGCACGAAAGCCCAGGGGAGCAAACAGG